rnacentral:rRNA from 1 species
GACGAACGCUGGCGGCGUGCUUAACACAUGCAAGUCGUACGGUAAGGCCCUUUCGGGGGUACACGAGUGGCGAACGGGCGAGUAACACGUGAGUAACCUGCCCACAACUUUGGGUGAACGCUAGGAAACUGGUGCUGAUAAUUGCUAUGUGCUACUGCUGCCUGGUGGGGGGUGGAAAGCUCCGGCGGUUGGGGGUGGACGCGCGGCCUUUCCGCCUGCUUGUGGGGGAGGGGGCUACCCAGGGGGCGACGGGUGGGCGGCCUGAGGGGGUGGACGGCCAAAUUGGGGCUUGGGUUCGGCCCCGACUCCUACGGGGGGCAGGCGUGGGGAAUAUUGCCCAAUGGGCGCGAGCCUGAUGCAGCAACGCCGCGUGCGGGAUGACGGCCUUCGGGUUGUAAACCGCUUUCAGCAGGGACGAAGCUUUUUGUGACGGUACCUGCAGAAGAAGCACCGGCUAACUACGUG